rnacentral:piRNA from 1 species
UCCCUUUGGUCCUUACCAUAGGCUGCCA